GAUGAACGCUGGCGGCGUGCCUAACACAUGCAAGUCGAACGGAGAUUACGGACGGAAGUUUUCGGAUGGAAGCCUGUAAUUCUUAGUGGCGGACGGGUGAGUAACGCGUGGGCAACCUGCCCUAUACAGGGGGAUAGCAGCUGGAAACGGCUGGUAAGACCGCAUAAGUCGGUUAAAUCGCAUGAUUUGAUCGGGAAAUGAGCAAUCAGGUAUAGGAUGGACCCGCGUCCGAUUAGCCAGUUGGCAGGGUAAAAGCCUACCAAAGCGACGAUCGGUAGCCGGACUGAGAGGUCGGACGGCCACAUUGGGACUGAGACACGGCCCAAACUCCUACGGGAGGCAGCAGUGGGGGAUAUUGCACAAUGGAGGAAACUCUGAUGCAGCGACGCCGCGUGAGUGAAGAAGUAUUUCGGUAUGUAAAGCCCUAUCAGCAGGGAAGAUGAUGACGGUACCUGACUAAGAAGCCCCGGCUAACUACGUG
rnacentral:rRNA from 1 species